rnacentral:lncRNA from 1 species
AUUAAAAAUAUAUAUAGUUCUCUACGAAUUAUUCCCGUGUAAUCUCUGGCAUGUCUUGCUCCAAUUUUCUAGUAAAUUUUGAAAAAUUUUCAGCAGUUUUAUAAAAUUUAUGAUCUUCGGUUUUCUGAUAAUGGGUUACGAACUGUUUUUGAAGUUUUCGAACAGGAAAGUUAGUAAACAAAUAUAUAUUUGGCCCAGAUGGUAGUGAAAACUAUCGAUCAUGCCAUAUUUUGCCAAUAAUAUCUAUUGCACUGUUGUGUUCUAGUGCUAAGCUCAAGUGAACUUAAUGGGACGAUCAAUGACCAAAUUUUAUUCUAUGGAGUCCAUAAUAAAAGAUUUAUAUCUCCAUAUUUUGAGAAUUUAUUCUGUCAAUGGCAAAAGUUGGAAUACCAUCAUCGAUGACCAUAUAAAGAAUAAUGCAAUGCAGUAUAUCUGUAUGAUAUUCUCUGACUUCCUACAUCGAUCCUAUUCAACAACAACUGCGAUAAUUAUCACUCCUCGUCUUUAUUAUUAUUUUAUCUCUUAAAUGAUAAUUUUAUCGCUCAAUUUAUGCCAGUAGUCCAUCGAAAAAUGUGUGGCUUUCACUCAAAUUUGGUUCGGUAUUUUUACACGAAUAUUUCGUGAAAGAAAACAAAAAUCAAUGCAACAUAUUCUGAACGUGUAAAAAAAUAAACACAAUAUUUAACUUAAUUUGACUUCAUAUUCUCUCUCGAAUAUAUAUUUUUUUUUAUAAGAAAUUUUAUUACAAAGUCUUCAAGUGCUCUGUGCUUCGAGAUUGUUUUCUCUUGGUUCCAUAAAAAAAAGUCUCGAUCUUUACUAUCAGUAAAAAAAUUCCCGAUUGCUCAGAGUUCAGACUUUAAAACAAAAAAAAAAAGAAAAAAGUUAUAACAGUUUUAUGUACUUGCAGCAAAGAGAAGUUAAAAUUCGUGGCACUGUAUCAUGUGGCAAACAGAAACUAGCUAGACUUUAUUGUCGUCUAAUGCAAAAGUAGGUCGAUAGAUUGAACGUGUUUAAAGUUAGCAUUUUCGCGAAAAUUUUCGUGAGAACUUGAAGAGAAUUAAAAGUUUUUUUUUUUAAUUAAUACAUUAAUUUUAUCGAAAAAGUUAUUAUUUUCUAAUCGAAUCGAAGAAUUUAGCGAAUUUAAAUAUAAAUUAACAGAUCAGAAAAUUAUAUUUUUGUCGAUUUUUCGAAGAUACUUAACGAGUUCCACGCCUAAUUAAAUUAUUUUCCAUAUUCAGACAUUAAAAGGAUAAUUCGAAAUUAAUUCAAUAAGGAAUAAAUAGAUUAAGAUCCUUUAUCAAAACUUAAUUAUCUUGAUUAAUUUUCGUCGAAAUUCUACCGAUGUGUUUGAUUAUUCAAAUUCUUAAAAAUUUGAAUAAUUCUCUCAAUUUCUCGGUCGAAAAAUUCCACGAAUUGUGCAACGAGAUCAGAUUUCUUAGAGAUGGAUAACUUCUCACAGAAAUACGAUCGUCAUUAAACAGUACAAAUAUGAAAAUUCUGUCUAGUUAACCGAAUUUUUUUAUGGCUUAUAAAAAAAAAAGCAGUUUGGCUUAAUUCGAUUUUCAGAGUUGAUGAAUAAAACGUUUUUCCUACAAAAAAAAAAAAUUUUGUUAGAAGAGAAAUUUUUUUAUAUUUUAUCGAAAUUGCAUUAACUUAAUUAUAGAAAAAAUUAUUUACAUUUAAGGAAUUUAUGUAAACUUUUAUAACAGUUUGAUACCUUUUGAUAAAAUUGAAUAGGAAGUAACCAGUAAACAGGGACGUAUAAUUGUGUUUUAUGGACGAUUACUAUAAAGUAAUAGAUGCAAAUUCUUCCUGUGGAAGUGAAAUUCGUUCACUGAAUGCAUGCAAACGUGAAUAUCGGCUUUGAUCUGAUAUCUUUUGAUUAAAUUCUGUUUAUCGAACUCUUUCUGGGUCUAUCGAACUUGGCUAACAUUUGCAUUCGUUGCGAAUCCUCUUCAGAUACGACCAAUUCUCGUUAUCUUCAUGGUUAAUGACUAAUAACGUCGAUGUUUAUAUAUAUAUGUAAUAAAAAUUAGAUUAAUUUUGAUAUUCAUCCGAGUAUUUCUGUGUUUUUUAGGAUAAUAUCCGAG